rnacentral:tRNA from 1 species
UGGUCGUUAGCUCAGUUGGGAGAGCAUCGCCCUUACAAGGCGAGGGUCACCGGUUCAAGCCCAGUACGACCCACCA